rnacentral:rRNA from 1 species
AUUGAACGCUGGCGGCAGGCCUAACACAUGCAAGUCGAGCGAGCGGCGGACGGGUGAGUAAUGUCUGGGAAACUGUCUGAUGGAGGGGGAUAACUACUGGAAACGGUAGCUAAUAUCGCAUACCAUCAGAUGUGCCCAGAUGGGAUUAGCUCGUAGGUGGGGUAACGGCUCACCUAGGCGACGAUCCCUAGCUGGUCUGAGAGGAUGACAAGCCACAAAGGAACGGAGACACGGUCAAGACUCCUACGGGAGGCAGCGAUGGGGAAUAUUGCACAAGGGGCGCAAGCCUGAUGCAGCCAUGCCGCGUGUGUGAAGAAGGCCUUCGGGUUGUAAAGCACUUUCAGCGGGUGAGGUUUACCCGCAGAAGAAGCACCGGCUAACUCCGUGCCAGCCGCCGCGGUAGUAC